ACAAAAAAUUUGGAAAGUCAAAUGUGGUAAUCAUCUUACCUCUACGUCAAACUCCUUCACUGAGGAAAGCUGGGAGAAAAAUAUUCCUUAUAAAGAUACUUUUAGCCCCUACACUAACAUCAGAUUUAUUGAAGCCUCUUCUACUAGUUGUGCCAUUAAAAUUUUUACCGAUGGUUCGAAGUGUGACUGUCAUGUUGGUGCCAGUUUCGUUGCUUUUCACAACAAUAUUGAAAUUUACUAUAAUGUUUUAGGUUUGUUCCACUUUGUAGCAUUUUUCAAGCAGAGUUAUAUGCUAUUUUACAGGCAAUCGAGUGGUGUGAACGGGCUCUCAAUAAUGCCAAAAUUGCAAUCAUUACCGAUUCACUAUCUUCUCUCUCUACGAUUCGGAGGAAGUCUGUUCAUCCUCUGGUCUUUAGUAUUCAAAGACUGUUGAUUGAGUCUGAUAAUGAGUAUUAUUUUAAUUGGACGAGAUCACAUUGUAAUGACUACGGCAAUGAUCGGACGGAUCAACUUGCUAAAAUGGCGGCAGCUGACCCGAACAUCUCUAUCAGUUACAAUAUGAUUUCAACAAAAAUGCUGAAAGAGGUCCUUUGGAACGAUUUGCUUGUGGAGUGGCAGCAUAGUUGGGAUGCCAACACCUCAGUUACGAAACAGUUUUUUCCUGAUAUAUUGAAAUUUUUGAAGAACACUUGGAUUGAAGUUACUCACCAUUCUAUACAAUUUCACACCACUCAUGGCCGUUUUAAUUCAUAUCUUGCUCGCUUUACCUUGCGUAAUAACAGUCUAUGUCCUGUUUGCAACACCAUUGACAGUAGUUUCCAUUAUAUUUUUGAAUGCCCCAUGACUGAGAUUGAAAGACAUCAGUUACGCACUCUUCUAACCAGUAAAAAUCGUUCUUGGCCGUGUGAUGCUCAAGACCUUACUUCGGAUAAGGAAACUUACAAUUUACUUGUUCAGAUAUUUGAAAGUAUUUUCGAGUUACAACAAUUUCUUAAUGUUCUUUACUAGAAAAUUCACACGUUGUUAAUAGUAUACACUUGGUAAGGCUUAAUUUGAUUCCUCGUUCGUAUCCUUUGCUGCUUUUCCCAUUCUUGUUUAAGUCUUCUGGUGUUUGAGGUGAUCUCCUCACUUAAACUUAGGGAUCUUGUGGUUUGUUUAAAAUUCGACUGCAGCGGAUUGUAGAUUAUGAUAGUUUCCUGGCUAUUCACUUUUGGUCUUGCACCUUGUGGUCAUAAUUGCACAUCAAAAGAACAAAUGUCACUUAAGAAGAAAUUCUUUUUCACUUUCUUCUGGACUUUACUGUGACUAGUGGGAAUGUAUACUACUAAUUGGACUGAACACUGUGUUAACGCCGUACCACUUUAAGCAUAUUGGUGGUUAUUGUGUUUGCUGGACUUUAGUUUGUGAAGUAGUAUACUUGGCUUCUUUGUGUACAUUUUCUUAUGGCUGACACUCUGGGUAAUUCUGUGGAUUCUACUGGUGGAGAUAUACUUGAUGUACUGUCACUGUUUCUCUGUGGUAAUACCUGGUCGAACUAUUUUUGUCAUGCUACAAUAGUUCGUGUUUGAACUUAAUACACAUUAUUACAUUUAUUGUAAUUGUUUGAGUUUACUGAAACUGGAAGGAGCUUACAUUUUUCUACUGGACUGUUUUCUGCAUCAACUCUACAUCAAUCCAUGCUUUGUGGUGUACUUGUGUAUUAUAUUAUGUUUUCUAUUUUGGUGCGCCACUGUGAUGUGAUCAACUAGUGGUUUCCUUGCUAUUGAAAUAAUUGUGGUGUGGACGAAGUUUCUUCAACUUCCAGUGAAUAUAAAUGAUGCAGCGUGAAGACAAUCCUUCAACUUCUGGUGGCUCUUACUAUGUCGGAAUAUUACGUACAGAAGUUUGGCGGAGUUCAGUGGUGUUGAGAACAUUUUUCAACUUCCAUUGCUCAACUACUAGCGGAUUUUCUUGUGGCCGAAACAUAAGUACUUUGGUGCAAGUGAUUAUUACUUCUUUACACUAUACUGUCUUAUUAUUAUAUAUUAUAGUUUGUAUAUAUACUCAUUUCUAUAUGAUAUGUAUCAUCUAUGAUAUCUUUGCACUUCUGCUGUUUGCUUCUUUUAUAAUUUGUUAACUUGCGCUUAAUUGUUGUGAUUCUAAUUUUAUUUUAUCUUCAUUACUUUUAAUUGUUACUGUAUAUUUUACACUAUCUUAUUUUUUCAUAAAAUUUUUACUUGUAUAAAUAUAUAUUAAGCCUGUAUAAUAUCCUUGUUGUCCUCCCAUCAUUGUACUAUUUUACUCUUAAUGUUUAUUAAUAUGCUGUAUUCAUUGUCAUAAUUAAUUAGUGUUUUUAAAUCCUGAUAAUGCUCAGCGAAAUCAGAAAAUGUAACUUAUGUUAUUUUAAUAAAAUUAAUGAAAUGAAAAAAAUGUCUUUAUACCAGAGGCUAUAAAAGAUGCUUGUAUUUAGCAAUUCAUGUAGAUGACGUAAUAGCAAUGGCCACAGACGAACAUACGUUAACCGAAUUUGAGACCGAUCGAAAUGAAAGAAAUGUUUAAAAUCAAGAAUUUAGGUGACUUAAAAUAUUAUCUGGGAAUACAAUUUGAAAGAGACGAGAACAGAAUAUUUUCACUUCACCAAGAAAGAUAUAUCGAAAAUAAAUUGUGAGAAUUUAACUUAUCCGAUUCGAGACCGUCUAAUAUUCCUAUGGAUACAGGAUACUUAAGAAGAAAUGAAAUGCCAGAUACGUUCAAAAACAACAAUGUAUACAGAAGUGCUAUUGGAUCUUUAUUAUAUCUAGUGACUAACUCGCAUCCAGAUAUUGCGAUAAGUACAUCGAUAUUAGCGAGAAAAGUAACAAAACCUUCAGAAAGUGAUUGGGUGGAAGUAAAAAGAAUCUUUCAUUAUCUGAAUUCGACAAAAAAGAAGAAACUUAAAUUAGGAAAUAUUGAUGAAGAAUUAGAACUUAAAUGUUAUGUAGAUGCCGACUGGGGAGGCGAUCGUAUAGACCACAAAUCGAACACAGGAUAUUUGCUCUUGCUAAAAGGAAGUCCUAUUCAUUGGGUUAGUAAAAAGCAACAGUGUGUAGCACUUUCAUCCAUCGAAGCGGAGUACGUAGCCUUGGCAGAAGCUACCUAAGAAACUGUAUGGAUGAAACGACUUCUAGAAGAAAUAAAUGUACCGAUUACAGCACCUAUCAAAAUAUUUGAGGACAAUCAAAGUUGUAUUCGACUUUUAGAAUUAGGAAAAGCACAACAGUGCACGAAAUAUAUCAACACAAAAUACCAUUUUGUACGUGAUUUAAAGAAUUCGGGAGAAAUUACUGUAAUCUAUUGUUUGAGUGAACGGAUGACAGCUGAUUUGUUAACAAAGCCGCUAGAUGCGAAUAAGGUUAAGAAAUUUACUCGCGAUAUCGGAUUGUAUUAAUGAUCAAUUGUUGAGGGGGUGUGUUGGAAUCAACGAUCGCAAUGUUCUGUAAUGUUCUGACGUAAUAAAAGGUUGGUGGUGCUCUUGACCCCUCAGGCAAAGUGACCUCGUUUCACUCUCCCCUUUCGAGCACUGACCUUCCGGGAGUGACAACUGUGUAAUCUUUGUGCACUCUUUGUUCUUUGUUAUAUAACUAGUUACGCGAGUCUAACUUGAUUUUACUAAUCUCUCCGAAAAGCUAUAUCCAGUCUAACAGUCAAAACUAACAUAAUUGAUAUUAGUGUUGUUCUAGUUAUUUGCAUAGUUUCACAUGUCACUGUUGGUAAAUUUUCAUCAGUAAUGCAAAAAACUGCAUUUAGUGUUUACAUUUGGUAUUAUUUCAUGUGAUCCUUACUUUUGACUUCCACUGUAGUUAUAAUAAGCAGCCAUUUCUUUUUGACCCUCCUAAAUGCAUUUUGGCUGUAUUAAGAUAGCCAUGUACAGGGUUAUCUUCUCACAAGUUAUUGUGGUCUAAAAGUUUUUUUACAUAAUCACAACACUUUUUUCACAAACCCAUAUAGAAACCUGGAUUAGAGUAUAGAGUAAUACAGCCAAACUGAGUGUUCAGUCAUCAUCAUUUAAUAUUUCCAAUCAGUUCUCAAUAUUACUAUAUUUUCAUGCUAUAAUCUUUAAUGGCAUUUUUUCCACAGAAAAUUAUUAGAACAAAAAUAAAACCUUUGUAAAAUUUGCUUCACUAUAUACCCUGUGACAAUGGAGUAACCAUUGCUCCAUAAAUGGAAAUUUGUAAAUGCAACUUAAAAUUGGCAUGUAAUCACACCCCUAAAAAUUACAUUUUAGACAUGGAUAAGUUAUAGCUUGUAUGUAUGAAAAUACGGUGCUCCCAUAUCUUUGCUGCUAUUGUCUCUUAUCCUUAUUGGCACAGUUUUUCCUUAAAGAGAGAAUGAAAAGAUAGAUAUUUAAGACAUAUUGUUGAUAAGACUACUAGCACCAUUAUUGCAAAAUGUUUAAAUAUAUAAUUAACAGAAUAAAAAGCAUUACAUACAAUGAUUUAUUUGCAAUUUUUAUGGAUAAUCAAAAUUUAAUAUUUAAAUUUCAAAAAUUACUAUUUCUUUCAUGAAGUUAGGUGGAAUAAUAGCUCCUAAUGAUGAAAGUUGCCAUCUUGAUGAAAAUGGUUAUUAUACAGAAAGCUUAAGUCAGGAUUAUCCAUCUUUAAGCCAAAUUAAUAAAAUACUUGUCGAAAAUAAAAUUAAUGUUAUAUUUGCUGUCCCUGAACAAAAAAUACCACUCUAUAACAUUCUUAGUUCAAAAAUUGAAGCAUCAUAUGCAGGAAAAUUAUUAAAAGAUUCUUCAAAUAUAGUUCAUUUAAUUCAAGGUCAAUAUAAUAAAAUUAGAUCAAAGGUUAUAUUGAAAAAUAGUUCUAAUGAAUUUAUGAAAGUGACUUAUGUCUCAAAAUGUUUAGG